GAUGAACGCUGGCGGCGUGCCUAAUACAUGCAAGUCGAGCGAACGGACGAGAAGCUUGCUUCUCUGAUGUUAGCGGCGGACGGGUGAGUAACACGUGGAUCACCUACCUAUAAGACUGGGAUAACUUCGGGAAACCGGAGCUAAUACCGGAUAAUCUUUUGAACCGCAGGGUGCAAUAGUGAAAGACGGUCUUGCUGUCACUUAUAGAUGGAUCCGCGCUGCAUUAGCUAGUUGGUAAGGUAACGGCUUACCAAGGCAACGAUGCAUAGCCGACCUGAGGGGGUGGUCGGCCACACUGGAGCUGAGACGCGCUCCAGGCUCCUACGGGAGGCAGCAGUAGGGAAUCUGCCGCAGUAGGCGAGAGCCUGACGGAGCGACGCCACGUGAGUUACGAAAGUCUUCGGUGCGUGAUACUCUGUUAUGAGGGGAGAACAUAUGUGUAAGGAACUGUGCACAGCGUGACGGUAACUGAUCAGAAAGCCACGGCUAACUACGUG
rnacentral:rRNA from 1 species